rnacentral:rRNA from 1 species
GAUGAACGCUGACAGAAUGCUUAACACAUGCAAGUCUACUUGAUUCUACUUCGGUAGUUGAUGGUGGCGGACGGGUGAGUAACGCGUAAAGAAUCUGCCCUUUAGUUCGGGAUAACCUUUGGAAACGAAGGCUAAUACCGGAUAUUAUGGAGACGUCGCAUGGCGACUCCAUGAAAGCUAUAUGCGCUAGAGGAGGACUUUGCGUCCCAUUAGUUAGUUGGUGAGGUAAUGGCUCACCAAGACCGCGAUGGGUAGCCGGCCUGAGAGGGUGAUCGGCCACAAGGGAACUGAGACACGGUCCUUACUCCUACGGGAGGCAGCAGUGGGGAAUAUUGGACAAUGGGCCACAAGCCUGAUCCAGCAAUUCUGUGUGCACGAUGAAGGUCUUCGGAUUGUAAAGUGCUUUCAGUAGGGAAGAAAAAAAUGACGGUACCUACAGAAGAAGCGACGGCUAAAUAUGUGCCAGCCGCCGCGGUAAAAC